UAGAGUAUACAUUGUACAGUGAAAUAUGAAUGCUUCGUACUCAUCUGUUUUGAUGGGUGUUGAUGAGGUGUUGACCUUUCGACCUUGUGGGCCAUAUCCAACACCAGCUAAGUCCAGGUCAAAUGGUGUAAAUCUGAGAAUCAUCAAGACCACGAUGAAAAGAAGGUGGUUUGUUGUUGGAUGUUGUUGUCCUACAGUUUAGGAGUCAGAGUUUACAGAGAAUGCUGCUUCCUGUAUUUGAAAUGUUUUAGGACCCUAUAAAGCUAGGAACAAUCAUUUGCCCAACAAUGAUAGCGAUAUUGCACAAACUGAGACGGUCACAUGGGUUUCUGCCAUUAAGGGACUCAACAACCUCAAAUCUACCCCAGACUGGGACCACAGCUAAUUGUUAUAGGCCUUAAUACCAUCAGGAUAGUUAGUUGGGGUGUGGUUGCUGGAUGAGAAGGGGUUAUGGUCAAUAAGAUACAGGGAAGUUAGUUGGGCUGUGACUAGUGGUUGGGGAGGGGUUACGGUCAAGGUCAAUAAGAUACAGGGAAGUUGUGCUGUGGCAGCAGGCUGGAUGGUUUGACCUGGUUAGGUUUUCCGCAUGGUGUUCUGACCAUCUCUGAAGGUCUAGACCAUCUGGUUUCAGCUCUCUGGAGGUCUAGACCAUCUUGGUUCCAGUUCUCUCUCUGGAGGUCUAGACCAUCUUGGUUCCAGUUCUCUCUCUGGAGGUCUAGACCGUCUUGGUUUCAGCUCUCUCUGGAGGUCUAGACCGUCUUGGUUUCAGCUCUCUCUGGAGGUCUAGACCGUCUUGGUUUCAGCUCUCUCUGGAGGUCUAGACCGUCUUGGUUUCAGCUCUCUCUGGAGGUCUAGACCGUCUUGGUUUCAGCUCUCUCUGGAGUUCGAGACCGUCUUGGUUCCAGUUCUCUCUCUGGAGUUCGAGACCGUCUUGGUUCCAGUUCUCUCUCUGGAGUUCUAGACCGUCUUGGUUCCAGUUCUCUCUCUGGAGGUCUAGACCAUCUUGGUUUCAGUUCUCUCUGGAGUUCUAGACCAUCUUGGUUUCAGCUCUCUCUGGAGGUCUAGACCAUCUUGGUUCCAGCUCUCUCUGGAGGUCUAGACCAUCUUGGUUCCAGCUCUCUCUGGAGGUCUAGACCAUCUUGGUUUCAGCUCUCUCUGGAGGUCUAGACCAUCUUGGUUUCAGCUCUCUCUGGAGGUCUAGACCAUCUUGGCAAAAGGACAUCUUUCUACCAAUGGAAUCUGUGUUUCCUUGUAAGGGAUUGGAUACAUACGUCCACAUACGUCCAGAAAAAUAAUUAGACCGUACAAACAUCUCUGUGAUGGACACCAUCACUUUGACUUGCAACAACAAGAAGCCAGAAAGCCUCUAGGCUGCCAUAUUGAAAACGUGGGACUGAGGAGGGAAUUGAGGGUGGGACUGAGAAGGGAGUGGUGAAACUAUAGAUGACAUUAUGAUGUUUACAGCCAUCAUAAAAACUAGGAGUGGGCCUCUCUGGUGACAGAGUUAGUUAAACAUUUACAGUCAACAUAUUGCACGAUAAUCAUCUGCACUCAAUCGUAGUGGAUGUAUGUAGUGCAUGUACUGUUUGCAGUGCAUAUUGUUUGUCUCUCUAAUUCUCCCCCUCAUACUGCGACAUUACAACAUUAGAAAUACAAGUGGUAUACAAGUGCAAUUUUCAUCUUAAAAUAAUCUAUUUUUCUAAAUGCAUCCAACCCCUAAAUGUGUUCUGUCUGCUCAGUACUCUCUAAUUUAUCUCCAUCUCUCCAUGGUCCAGCAGCACACAGGAUGUUCUCAGUUCUCUCCACCUGUCUUUUGUAAAUGUUCCUUUUAUCUUCUAUGGUCCAACAGCGUACUGUGUUCUAACCCUC